rnacentral:rRNA from 1 species
ACGAACGCUGGCGGCGUGCUUAACACAUGCAAGUCGAACGGAAAGGCCCUGCUUUUGUGGGGUGCUCGAGUGGCGAACGGGUGAGUAACACGUGAGUAACCUGCCCUUGACUUUGGGAUAACUUCAGGAAACUGGGGCUAAUACCGGAUAGGAGCUCCUGCUGCAUGGUGGGGGUUGGAAAGUUUCGGCGGUUGGGGAUGGACUCGCGGCUUAUCAGCUUGUUGGCGGGGUAGUGGCUUACCAAGGCUUUGACGGGUAGCCGGCCUGAGAGGGUGACCGGCCACAUUGGGACUGAGAUACGGCCCAGACUCCUACGGGAGGCAGCAGUGGGGAAUAUUGCACAAUGGGCGGAAGCCUGAUGCAGCAACGCCGCGUGCGGGAUGACGGCCUUCGGGUUGUAAACCGCUUUCGCCUGUGACGAAGCGUGAGUGACGGUAAUGGGUAAAGAAGCACCGGCUAACUACGUG